rnacentral:rRNA from 1 species
CCCUACGGGACGCAGCAGUGGGGAAUAUUGCACAAUGGGGGAAACCCUGAUGCAGCAACGCCGCGUGGGCGAUGGAGUACUUCGGUAUGUAAAGCCCUAUCAGCAGGGAAGAAAAUGACGGUACCUGACUAAGAAGCCCCGGCUAAAUACGUGCCAGCAGCCGCGGUAAUACGUAUGGGGCAAGCGUUAUCCGGAUUUACUGGGUGUAAAGGGAGCGUAGGCGGCCUGGCAAGCCUGAUGUGAAAUACCGGGGCCCAACCCCGGGGCUGCAUUGGGAACUGCCAGGCUGGAGUGCCGGAGAGGCA